rnacentral:piRNA from 1 species
UGGUGUUCCUGUCAGGGUUAUCGUGCUGC